GAAAUUUCUGUUAAACAAUGUUUAACAGAAACAUUGUUUCUUUUUGGGGGUGGGUGGGGAGGAGGGCAACUUUGAAAAAUAGAUGCAAGGACCACAUAAAAGGGAUAUGUACCAAUAAGAAAAAAUUUGUGCCAGAUAGGAAAUGAGAUAUAAAAAUGAACUAAAUAUUCCAGUGGAGUUAGGAAGAAAUAAAAUAUUUAUGGAUAAAUCUUAUUUGGGGAUGACAGUAUGAAUGCCAAGGAAAAACGAGAAACACCAAGCCUGCUGCUUACUGAGUUAGGACAUGUUCUUUCAUUAGUUCCUUAGUGUGUAAGGGGAGGUGAGGAGUUCCCUGGCUUGUUGUGGGGAAAAAGCUUCAGAGGGAAAGAAAUGGGGCAGGCCUAGGCUUGUUGGUGGGGCUGAGAUGUGAGCAAAUGAGACCUAAAACAACAGUCGCAAUGAUGAAACGCGUCUAAAUGGCCUCAGAAGGACUUGGAAUGCAGCCCUGUCUAUACUAUCAGACCAUUUCAUCUCUGUGUGAAGGAAGAAUCCAGCAUGAAUUUUCUUCCCCCAUUCUGGGCAAGAGGCAGGAGGGGUUGAAAGAUAAUAGUGAAUGGCACUUUCCUCUCCUGAGUAUGGCACUGAAAGGUGUUGAAAACCAGAGGAACAUCUACUGCCAUCUAUUCAGUUCCACAAUUAUACAAUUGUCAACCACGGGCUCACAGAUUGAGCAAGUUUUUCCACUUACAGGAAAAAAGUGGCCGGAGGAAUUUAACCUUUUUUCUUCAAGAGAUUAAGCAAAGACGUUUUCAUGGCCUUAGGCAUGCUGGGGCCAGUUUCCAACCUUGAGCUCACUUGCUGUCCACAGGUGGCAGAACAAUCUCUGCUGACUGUUCUCACAGGUGACCUCAGGUAGGACGUAGUUCUGUGCACUGCUUCACAGCAGAUAAACUGAGUCAGAGGGGCUUGUCUCUGGGCCUGGGAGAGGACAAGGAGCCUGGAGUUCCACAACCCAGAGCAGAACACAGAUCUCUGCUUCAGCCCUUGCCCCCUCCUCUCACCUUGACACACCGUUGGAGUUUAGACAAAGGCUGACAGAUCCUGAAACUUUCCUGGGGAAGGUCAGCCUCAGAUACUGACAAGACACCAAGGGACUGCAGCUGCUUACUAUGGAAAGAGCAUGACCCUCUGGUAACUGCCUGUGGCUGUCUCUGGUGUUUCCUCCAUCUAGUUUCAUCUUGCUCUUCUCACAGGAAGUACAGCAUCGCUGUUAAGAACACAGGCUCCGGAGCCAGACAGCCUGAGUUUGAAUUCUGCUCCAUCGCUUUCUCUAGGGUGUAUGACUUCCAACAAGUUUCUUAACUCCUCUGUGCUUCAGUUUUCUCAUCUCUAAAAUAGAGACAAUAAUUGUAACUGUUUUUUAGAGUCCUGGUGAGGGGUUUAAAAAUGUAAAGUGUUUAAGAUGAUGCCUGGAACAGAGUAAGCUCUAUAUAAAUGUUAGCUACUAUUCUUAUUAACCUGAUUGGUCUCUUUAAAAAUCGUAUUUUACUCUGCAGGUUUUAGUUACCUCAAAUUAUCUUGGGAAGAGAU
rnacentral:lncRNA from 10 species